rnacentral:rRNA from 1 species
GACGAACGCUGGCGGCGUGCCUAAUACAUGCAAGUAGAACGCUGAAGAGAGGAGCUUGCUCUUCUUGGAUGAGUUGCGAACGGGUGAGUAACGCGUAGGUAACCUGCCUUGUAGCGGGGGAUAACUAUUGGAAACGAUAGCUAAUACCGCAUAACAAUGGAUGACACAUGUCAUUUAUUUGAAAGGGGCAAUUGCUCCACUACAAGAUGGACCUGCGUUGUAUUAGCUAGUAGGUGAGGUAAUGGCUCACCUAGGCGACGAUACAUAGCCGACCUGAGAGGGUGAUCGGCCACACUGGGACUGAGACACGGCCCAGACUCCUACGGGAGGCAGCAGUAGGGAAUCUUCGGCAAUGGGGGCAACCCUGACCGAGCAACGCCGCGUGAGUGAAGAAGGUUUUCGGAUCGUAAAGCUCUGUUGUAAGUCAAGAACGGGUGUGAGAGUGGAAAGUUCACACUGUGACGGUAGCUUACCAGAAAGGGACGGCUAACUACGUGCCAGCAGCCGCGGUAAUACGUAGGUCCCGAGCGUUGUCCGGAUUUAUUGGGCGUAAAGCGAGCGCAGGCGGUUUGAUAAGUCUGAAGUUAAAGGCUGUGGCUCAACCAUAGUUCGCUUUGGAAACUGUCAAACUUGAGUGCAGAAGGGGAGAGUGGAAUUCCAUGUGUAGCGGUGAAAUGCGUAGAUAUAUGGAGGAACACCGGUGGCGAAAGCGGCUCUCUGGUCUGUAACUGACGCUGAGGCUCGAAAGCGUGGGGAGCGAACAGGAUUAGAUACCCUGGUAGUCCACGUCGUAAACGAUGAGUGCUAGGUGUUGGAUCCUUUCCGGGAUUCAGUGCCGCAGCUAACGCAUUAAGCACUCCGCCUGGGGAGUACGACCGCAAGGUUGAAACUCAAAGGAAUUGACGGGGGCCCGCACAAGCGGUGGAGCAUGUGGUUUAAUUCGAAGCAACGCGAAGAACCUUACCAGGUCUUGACAUCCCGAUGCUAUUUCUAGAGAUAGAAAGUUACUUCGGUACAUCGGUGACAGGUGGUGCAUGGUUGUCGUCAGCUCGUGUCGUGAGAUGUUGGGUUAAGUCCCGCAACGAGCGCAACCCCUAUUGUUAGUUGCCAUCAUUCAGUUGGGCACUCUAGCGAGACUGCCGGUAAUAAACCGGAGGAAGGUGGGGAUGACGUCAAAUCAUCAUGCCCCUUAUGACCUGGGCUACACACGUGCUACAAUGGUUGGUACAACGAGUUGCGAGUCGGUGACGGCGAGCUAAUCUCUUAAAGCCAAUCUCAGUUCGGAUUGUAGGCUGCAACUCGCCUACAUGAAGUCGGAAUCGCUAGUAAUCGCGGAUCAGCACGCCGCGGUGAAUACGUUCCCGGGCCU